rnacentral:rRNA from 1 species
AGUGAACGCUGGCGGUAGGCCUAACACAUGCAAGUCGAACGGCAGCACAGUAAGAGCUUGCUCUUACGGGUGGCGAGUGGCGGACGGGUGAGGAAUACAUCGGAAUCUACUUUUUCGUGGGGGAUAACGUAGGGAAACUUACGCUAAUACCGCAUACGACCUACGGGUGAAAGCAGGGGAUCUUCGGACCUUGCGCGAUUGAAUGAGCCGCUGUCGGAUUAGCUAGUUGGCGGGGAAAAGGCCCACCAAGGCGACGAUCCGUAGCUGGUCUGAGAGGAUGAUCAGCCACACUGGAACUGAGACACGGUCCAGACUCCUACGGGAGGCAGGAGUGGGGAAUAUUGGACAAUGGGCGCAAGCCUGAUCCAGCCAUACCGCGUGGGUGAAGAAGGCCUUCGGGUUGUAAAGCCCUUUUGUUGGGAAAGAAAAGCAGCAGGUUAAUACCCCGCUGUUCUGACGGUACCCAAAGAAUAAGCACCGGCUAACUUCGUG